GCUUGUCUCAAAGAUUAAGCCAUGCAUGUCUAAGUAUAAACAACUUUAUACUGUAAAACUGCGAACGGCUCAUUAUAUCAGCAAUAAUUUAUUUGAUGGUUUCUUACCCCAUGGAUAACUGUGGUAAUUCUAGAGCUAAUACAUGCGAAAAAUCCCGGCGCAAGUCGGGAUGUAUUUAUUAGAUAAAGAAUCAAUAGCCACCCCGUGGUUUUUAUUGAUGAAUCAUAAUAACUGUUCGAAUCGCACGGGGUAACCUGGCGAUAGUUCAUUCAAAUUUCUGCCCUAUCAGCUUUCGACGGUAGUGUAGUGGACUACCGUGGCGUUAACGGGUAACGGAGAAUUAGGGUUCGAUUCCGGAGAGGGAGCCUGAGAAACGGCUACCACAUCCAAGGAAGGCAGCAGG
rnacentral:rRNA from 1 species